rnacentral:rRNA from 1 species
CAAGACCUCGCGCAUGAAGAGGAGCCCACGCCCGAUUAGCUAGUCGGCGGGGUAAGAGCCCACCAAGGCUUCGAUCGGUAGCCGGCCUGAGAGGGCGGUCGGCCACACUGGCACUGAGACACGGGCCAGACUCCUACGGGAGGCAGCAGUGGGGAAUUUUGGGGAAUGGGCGAAAGCCUGACCCAGCAACGCCGCGUGAAGGACGAAAUCCCUCUGGGAUGUAAACUUCGAAAGUCGGGAAACAAAUCGCCCAGGCUAAUACCCCGCAUAGAUGACGGUACCCGACGGGAGCCCCGGCUAACUACGUGCCAGCAGCCGCGGUAAUACGUAGGGGGCAAGCGUUGUUCGGAAUUAUUGGGUGGAAAGGGCGCGUAUGCGGCACAGCAAGUCGGGAGUGAAAGGCGGGGCUCAACCCCGGAACUGCUUUCGAAACUGCUGAGCUAGAGUGCAGAAGGGGCAACCAGAAAUCCCAGUGUAGCGGUGAAAUGCGUAGAUAUUGGGAAGAACACCUGAGGCGAAGGCGGGUUGCUGGGCUGAUACUGACGCUGAGGAGCGAAAGCCAGGGGAGCAAACGGCAUUAGAUACCCCGGUAGUCCUGGCCCUAAACGAUGGAUACUUGGUGUGUGGGGUUCUCUGAGUCCCCGCGUGCCGGAGCU